AUUGAACGUUGGCGGCAUGCUUUACACAUGCAAGUCGAACGGUAACAGGGAGCUUGCUCCGCUGACGAGUGGCGAACGGGUGAGUAAUGCAUCGGAACGUACCGUGUAAUGGGGGAUAACGUAGCGAAAGUUACGCUAAUACCGCAUACGCCCUGAGGGGGAAAGUGGGGGACCGCAAGGCCUCACGUUAUACGAGCGGCCGAUGUCGGAUUAGCUAGUUGGUGGGGUAAAGGCCUACCAAGGCGACGGUCCGUAGCGGGUCCGAGAGGAUGAUCCGCCAGACUGGGACUGAGACACGGCCCAGACUCCUACGGGAGGCAGCAGUGGGGAAUUUUGGACAAUGGGGGCAACCCUGAUCCAGCCAUGCCGCGUGAGUGAAGAAGGCCUUCGGGUUGUAAAGCUCUUUCAGGUGGAAAGAAAUCUCCCGGGUGAAUACCCUGGGAGGAUGACGGUACCAUCAGAAGAAGCACCGGCUAACUACGUGCCAGCAGCCGCCGCCGUAA
rnacentral:rRNA from 1 species